rnacentral:rRNA from 1 species
CCUACGGGAGGCAGCAGUGAGGAAUAUUGGUCAAUGGGCGCGAGACUGAACCAGCCAAGUAGCGUGAAGGAUGACGGCCCUACGGGUUGUAAACUUCUUUUAUAAAGGAAUAAAGUGAGGCACGUGUGACUUUUUGUAUGUACUUUAUGAAUAAGGAUCGGCUAACUCCGUGCCAGCAGCCGCGGUAAUACGGAGGGUCCGAGCGUUAUCCGGAUUUAUUGGGUUUAAAGGGAGCGUAGAUGGGGUGUUAAGGCAGUUGUGAAAGUUCGCGGCUCAACCGUAAAAUUGCGAUUGGGACUGGCAGUCUUGAGUACAGUUGAGGUAGGCGGAAUUCGUGGUGUAGCGGUGAAAUGCUUAGAUAUCACGAAGAACUCCGAUUGCGAAGGCAGCUUACGACACCGCCACUGACAUUGAUGCUCGAAAGCGUGGGUAUCAAACAGGAUUAGAUACCCUAGUAGUC